rnacentral:rRNA from 1 species
GAUGAACGCUGGCGGCGUGCCUAAUACAUGCAAGUCGAGCGAACGGACGAGAAGCUUGCUUCUCUGAUGUUAGCGGCGGACGGGUGAGUAACACGUGGAUAACCUACCUAUAAGACUGGGUUAACUUCGGGAAACCGUAGCUAAUACCGGAUAAUAUUUUGAACCGCAUGGUUCAAAAGUGAAAGACGGUCUUGCUGUCACUUAUAGAUGGGUCCGCGCUGCAUUAGCUAGUUGGUAAGGUAACGGCUUACCAAGGCAACGAUGCAUAGCCGACCUGAGAGGGUGAUCGGCCACACUGGAACUGAGACACGGUCCAGACUCCUACGGGAGGCAGCAGUAGGGAAUCUUCCGCAAAGGGCGAAAGCCUGACGGAGCAACGCCGCGUGAGUGAUGAAGGUCUUCGGAUCGUAAAACUCUGUUAUUAGGGAAGAACAUAUGUGUAAGUAACUGUGCACAUCUUGACGGUACCUAAUCAGAAAGCCACGGCUAACUACGUG